rnacentral:lncRNA from 1 species
GGCGAUGAGGAGAAGACCGCUGUCCCUAUCGGUUUGGAGAUGGGUCUGGGAAAGCUAGGCAGCAGUCCCCAAGCUGCUGCUGGUCUCGCUUUAGUUUCGUUUUUAAAAAUUCUACUCAUAUAUCUAGUUUAUUUCGUUCUGUGGACAGGGAAGCCGGGUGGGGGUGUGUAAUACCCACCACGUGGCUGUCUUUUGCUGGAUGGCUUAAAGGCAUCAGUGCUAACUUUCAUAGCAAAGAUAUUGCAACUGCUGUCUAAUAAACGGAAAACCUAAGGCCCAGAGAUACCCAGUCACUGGCCCAAGGUCACCCUAGUAUCAGAUGCAGAUGGUUUGAAUGGAGCUUUGGUGCUUUCUAACCUUGUCCUGUUUGCUAUGUCAGGGCCAUCUCCAACAAGACUGUCAGAAAAAUGAGGAGCAGAGCCCAAGAUGAUUGGAACAUCCUUUGUGACCCGAGAACCCUGCUACUGUUCCCAGAGCUCUGCCCCUUGACCCUACUGAGGCUCCAACAGACUGGCACCAGAUAUCAUCACUUUGCCGCCGCCGCCGUCAUCAUUAUCAGUAACAAAUGAUAGAAUGCAUUUAAAUGGCAAAACAGUUACCUCAAUAUCACAGCAAGCAGAAAAAAGAAAUAACUUCCUGGGAGUCCUUCCAGAAUUUUCUUCAGUCAUGGACCUGGGGACAUAUAUUUAAAAUACGCCUGUUGGACCGCACUGGGAGCACCUCAUGUCUUCGGUUUUUCUCCCGCGACGUUUGCGGGACCCUGUCCCAGCACAGUUGCCUGGGAAGAGCAUGCCACAUCGGUUUUCCCGAUUUUCUUCCGCAUUCGCCGACACGUGAGUUCCACGCUGAGCACGUGGGUCCUAAGCAGCACUGCUAGAGAACCAGUUGCUGGCCCUGCGGUCUAGCUGCGGCGCUGGGGCUGCGGACUGCUGCCCUCUCGUGGCCAGUCAGGGGAACGCCUCGAGAGUCCCAGCCCUCCAGGAUCUCACCCAUUCCCUCCCGCGGCAGCUCAACAGCCUGCUCUUGGUGCCCGAAAAGGACAGAAUCUUCGUUCUUCAUCUCUCAUGCUCACCCAGGGGCCAAAUCUUGCCUCAGUGAGGCAGCUGUGAAAAUUAGUUGGAGCAAGGAUGCUUGUCAGGUACUCCUAAGUUGGGGAACUCAGAUAAUGCCAGGUACCUGCUGGGUGUCCCGCACAGUGCUAAGAGACAGGGGAUUCCUUAUGCUUGAAUUGAACCAGCAAGGGCAGGCGCACUUAGCUUUGCCGCGUGAUUAGCUAAGCUGAAUGCUAGCAUCUAUUACCUUCCCUUCAUCUACCCACCUAACUAACUCACCCAUCCACUUAUCUAUAUAUCUAUUCAACUACCCAUGGGUCCUUCUUCAGUCAUUUACAAUUCUUCCCUGAUUAUCAACAUACUGAGUGCUGAGUUCUGUCACUUUGGAUACGUUUGACGUUCACUUUCCACAAAUUUAAACUGCAGGUAACAAAAGCUAAGUUAGAUGUCAGACGAGAAAGCAAAAUAAUGUCCAUGAAAUCCCUCGAGUACGGGAUGCUCUGUGAACAGCAUUUGUCAUCUUAUGGAAGUAUCUGCUUUUGUGAGGAAGGCGGGAUGCAGGUUCAUGCAGCUGGGGCACACACUGUUGUGUGAUUGUAAGGCACAUACGAGCAGAGCCAUUGUGUGUAGGCCGAAGGCUAACGCAGUGUGAAGGGAGGGCUGAGGGCUUGGUCUGGCAUCAUUAGCCUGAUUCUCAAGAGAUGGGACUGCAAAACAGAAGAGGAGGUGCCUGGAGAAGGGAUACCUCAGCAAUGAUGAUUGUCAGCCAUGGAACCCCCCACAGCAGGUGGGCCCCAUUCCUGUUGGAGGCUGAAAAACAUCAAGAGACC